GCGCUCUGCAAAAUUACAUUCAGCUUCACCCAUGUGACUUUCAUGAUGAGGAGAAAAGAUUUCCUCGGGACCUCAGAUUGCCCUUAUGGUGGUUUCUCUUUCCUUGAGGGGUACAACAGAU